CUUGGUCAUUUAGAGGAAGUAAAAGUCGUAACAAGGUUUUCCUUCCAGUUAAAGCUAUUAACUUAUUGAAGCCUGACGUGGGCGACUAUAAAUAUAACCAUGAAGUUCGGUCUUUAACAGACUGGACAACACCGCUGAAAUGCUGUGAUCAACUAUUGUUGUACCAGCAGCCCUCUUAUAGGGCCCACAGAUCAAGCCGCGGUGAUCCUACCUAGAGUAUUUAAGUAGGACUAUAAUAUGACCGGUCUCACCUGAGAUGGUUGAGAGAACACGUUCCGUAGGUGAACCUGCGGAAGGAUCAUUACCGAGUUAGGGUCUUAUAGGCCCGACCUCCAACCCUUUGUUUACUACACCAUGUUGCUUUGGCGGGCCCGCCUUUUGGGGCCGCCGGGGGUUUACAAGCCCCUGGUCAGUGUCCGCCAGUAGCCUUAUUAAAUUCUUUUAUAAUUAUGUUGUCUGAGUAUAAAUAUAAAUCGUUAAAACUUUCAACAACGGAUCUCUUGGUUCUGGCAUCGAUGAAGAACGCAGCGAAAUGCGAUAAGUAAUGCGAAUUGCAGAAUUCAGUGAGUCAUCGAAUCUUUGAACGCAUAUUGCGCCCUUUGGUAUUCCGAAGGGCAUGCCUGUUCGAGCGUCAUUAUCAACCAUCAAGCCUGGCUUGUCGUUGGACCCUUUUUACCGCUGAAAUAUGUGGUAGGUCCGAAAGAUAAUGACGGCGUCGUGUUUGACCCUAGAUGCAACGAGCUUUUUAUAGCACGCAUUGAAGUGGUCGGCCGACCCGGUCUUUAACCAUCAUUUUCUAAGGUUGACCUCGGAUCAGGUAGGAAUACCCGCUGAACUUAAGCAUAUCAAUAAGCGGAGGA
rnacentral:rRNA from 1 species